AUUGAACGCUGGCGGCAGGCCUAACACAUGCAAGUCGAACGAGUGGCGGACGGGUGAGUAAUGUUUGGGAAUCUAGCUUAUGGAGGGGGAUAACUACUGGAAACUGUAGCUAAUACCGCUUACCAUAGGAUGAGCCCAAGUGGGAUUAGCUAGUUGGUGGGGUAAAGGCUCACCAAGACGACGAUCCCUAGCUGGUCUGAGAGGAUGACCAGCCACACUGGAACUGAGACACGGCCCAGACUCCUACGGGAGGCAGCAGUGGGGAAUAUUGCGCAAUGGGAGCAACCCUGACGCAGCCAUGCCGCGUGAAUGAAGAAGGCCUUCGGGUUGUAAAGUACUUUCAGUAGCGAGGCGUUAACUACAGAAGAAGCACCGGCUAACUCCGUGCCAGCCGCCGCGGUAAUUC
rnacentral:rRNA from 1 species